GGAGUGGGGGUUUCUCUGACUUGAAUCUUUAGCUCUGCAUGCAUGGUCUGAGCCUUGAAGUCCGAAGGAUAAAAAGCACCCAAAUCUCCUAACUGAGUCCUCCGAGCAUGGAGAAUGGAGCACUGCUCUUAAGGCCCGCUUGCAAGAGAACAAAGCGGAGUGAUGUAAAAUAGAAAAUGAGAAAUGCAAACCUGUGGUGAUUGAAGAAGAGGAAGGAAAAUGAAAGAGAAAAAGCUGAAGAGUGGGAAAAAGAUAAAAUAAAAUGAAUUUUGGGGAUUCCACUUGGAUGAACACAUGGCUAAUUGCCAGAGCCAAGAGUGCAGACCAUUAUGAGGACCAGCUAUAUUUCACGUUCAUCUGGGAGAAUGCUGAGAUUUUAUUUUCUGUGGGAAAUGGCAAUGAAAAAAUGAAUUGUUUUGAUGAUAAAAAUGUAUCCUUUUGUGUGUUUUUACUGGUCAGAUUGAACACAUUAUCCAGCUUUUCCCACAAUUACAAAAGAAAAGACAAAAGUCAUCUUUUAUUAUCGAAAUAGAUUUUGUGGAAGAAAUUUUUGAACAAAUUCCCUAGCGUCAUGAGCAAUGCUGCAGCUACUCUCUUUGCUGCAGUGUUUCAGGUAUCUGUCCUCCAUCUCAAUUUGCUUCAGGUGCUCAGAGCAGUUUUGUGUUGGACAGCAGAGCCCAGAGCUUCAGAGGAGCAGGAUGUGAGGACUGCUGGGACAGCAGGACAAGGCUGCAGUGGGCAUAUUUUGCCAGGACAGAGGUCUCAAAUGUGUCUGUGGUGGCCCAGAGCCUUUGUGGGGGGAUUCAUUAAGCAGAAGUCUGGAAAAUGGAGCUGCUAAAAACUGUUUCAAAGCUGCAUAUGGGGUUAGGAGGCUUUGAUCAUGCUGGAUAUCCAAGACUCCACUGGCAACUGGAGCGAUCGCUUGUAAAGUCUGUGUACACAUCAAAGAAUGUCUUUACUUUUCACUGUAAUCCUUUGUAGUAGUCAACAUACUUGACUAAAUAUUCGAGAGAUGAUUAUGCUGAAUCUGAAUGGCACCUAAAAUUAUUUUCUUUAAAACCAGCUCUGGUGAGCUCAAGGGGAGCCAGCCUUAAAAUUCUGGUGAGCCGGCAAGCAUAUCCCAGAGGAGGGCAGCUUGGCUCCCCAGAGGCUGUCUGUAUCAGUGGUUCUCAGCCUUUUCUAAGGGAGCCUUUCUGAAAAAAACACUCCUGGACCAUUUCCCAUGGCCAACAAGGAGCCGUCUGCACCUGCAGGCAGUCAGUGGCAGCAUCCAGAAACCGGCUCCCGGCUCUGUCUGCCAGCACUGGUGCCUCUGCCAGCAGGCUGGGAAUAGAUGUGGUUUUUAUUUUAUUUUUUUUAAUCUUCUAAAUGAGCUCGUUCACAGAGCAGUUCCUGGUGUCUGACAGAAAGCGGUGGUCUGCAGCCCACAGGCUGCUUAACAGAUCUACCUAGCUCGCAGUGGCUAGGGUCCCUUCACCGGGUGGUCAUGCAGUGCUCUCAGGCGAUUUUAUUAACUCUUGUGCACCUUUCUCUGAAAUAACUGUUGCCAGUUUCCCCAGUAGUUGAGCUGUUUCAUUAUUCUAAUAUUAUACUAGUUGAUUUCAGUGAAUUAAUAUCAAAAUGGGCUAUGAAUGAAUUGAAAGCAUGUUUCCUCUUCAUAGACUACUUUAUUUUCGGUAACUAUGGUAUAGUUACAAUAGGAAUUAUAAAUACAGCAAUCUUUUAUAUUUCAAGCAUUUAUAUGUUGAACCUGUUUUAAGCAAAAAUUAUCUCUGGCCUCUAAUGGAUUGCUAACAUUAUAAUUAUUUAUUAUAAUGUGCUUUUCCGAAUAAAAUUCUUGCUGGAUGAUC